rnacentral:rRNA from 1 species
UACGUAGGUGGCAAGCGUUGUCCGGAUUUACUGGGCGUAAAGAGCGCGCAGGCGGUCGUUCAAGUCGCGUGUGAAAGCCCCCGGCUCAACUGGGGAGGGUCACGCGAUACUGAUCGACUCGAAGGCAGGAGAGGGUAGUGGAAUUCCCGGUGUAGUGGUGAAAUGCGUAGAUAUCAGGAGGAACACCGGUGGCGAAGGCGCUCUGCUAGGCCGCAACUGACACUGAGGGACGAAAGCUAGGGGAGCGAAUGGG